AGAUUGAACGCUGGCGGCAGGCCUAACACAUGCAAGUCGAGCGGCAGCACGGGUACUUGUACCUGGUGGCGAGCGGCGGACGGGUGAGUAAUGCCUAGGAAUCUGCCUGAUAGUGGGGGGAUAACGUUCGGAAACGGACGCUAAUACCGCAUACGUCCUACGGGAGAAAGUGGGGGAUCUUCGGACCUCACGCUAUCAGAUGAGCCUAGGUCGGAUUAGCUAGUUGGUAGGGUAAAGCCUACCAAGGCUACGAUCCGUAACUGGUCUGAGAGGAUGAUCAGUCACACUGGAACUGAGACACGGUCCAGACUCCGUACGGGAGCAGCAGGUCGGGAAUAGUUGGACAAGUGGGACGAAAGCCUGACUCCAGCCAUCGCCGUCGUGUGUAGAAGGACGGUCUUCGGAUUAGUAAGCUAGUUAAGUUGGGAGG
rnacentral:rRNA from 1 species